rnacentral:rRNA from 1 species
UAGCUGGACUCAACCCCAGCUGUGCCGAAGCUAACGCGAUAAGUACACCGCCUGGGGAGUACACUCGCAAGGGUGAAACCCAAAAGAAUUGACGGGGACCCGCACAAGCAGUGGAGCAUGUGGUUUAAUUCGAUGCAACGCGAAGAACCUUACCCAGACUUGACAUGCAAAAGACAGUGCUAGAAAUAGCAUCUUCCUUCGGGACUUUUGCACAGGUGCUGCAUGGCUGUCGUCAGCUCGUGCCGUGAGGUGUUUGGUUAAGUCCAGCAACGAGCGCAACCCUUAUCAUUAGUUGCCAACAUUUAAGGUGGGACUCUAAUGAGACUGCCCGGGUUAACCGGGAGGAAGGUGGGGAUGACGUCAGUCUCAUGGCCCUUACGGGUGGGCUACACACGUGUACAAUGGUGGACAGUGGGCAGCGAGCACGCGAGUGUGAGCUAAUCUCCAAAAGCCAUCUCAGUUCGGAUUGCACUCUGCAACUCGAGUGCAUGAAGUUGGAAUCGCUAGUAAUCGCGGAUCAGCAUGCCGCGGUGAUACGUUCCCGGGC